ACGCCUCCCCCACGAAUUGGAUUUCAUUUGUCGGCACUGACACUCAAGCCUGGGGGUCUCUAACAUCAUCAUUCCUCGCGCGUCAGUGGGCAAUAAAGAAGCACCAUGAAUGGUCUGGCCUCUUGCAAGCUGUACUUCGAUGGCUACUGCGUGCGGAGGAUCCUCAUCAACCAAAAACUCAUACUGAAUAUUGAUAUUUGUACGAUCUACAUUAGAGCAUGAGUCUUUGGUGCUCGCAGGAGGUGCGGUAGGAUCAUCUGUAGGGGCGUCCUCCUGCUGUGACUGUUGCUCUUGUUGUUGUAGUCUGAUCAUCGCAAGUUCUUGUUCAAGCGUUCUUAAGCGUUCUUCCAUUUGCUCUCGUACUUGGACUUGCACUUGUUUCGUGAUGCUACUAACCAAUUUCGGAGUCACGGCUUGUGUGCUUCUUGGUUUAGGGCCAAAGUAAUCCCUCAAUUUAGU
rnacentral:lncRNA from 1 species